UACAGAGGUCUCAAGCGUUGUUCGGAUUCAUUGGGCGUAAAGGGUGCGUAGGUGGCGCCGUAAGUCAGGUGUGAAAUUUCGGAGCUUAACUCCGAAACUGCAUUUGAUACUGCGGUGCUUGAGGACUGGAGAGGAGACUGGAAUUUACGGUGUAGCAGUGAAAUGCGUAGAGAUCGGAAAGAACACCAACGGCGAAAGCACUCUGCUGGGCCGACACUGACACUGAGAGACGAAAGCUAGGGGAGCAAAUGGG
rnacentral:rRNA from 1 species